GAAAGGGUGGACAGCCUGAAUGUCAAGGAGCUGCAGGCGGCAUGCCGGGCGCGGGGCAUGCUGACCCUAGGCGUCACCGAGGACCAGUUGCAGAGGCAGCUGAAGCAGUGGUUGGAUCUGCACCAGCACCAGGAGAUGCCCACACUGCUGCUUGUGCGGUCUCAGGCCAUGAAUCUCCCAGACACUCUCACCUGCUGACCAGCUCAAGUCUACCUCCAGACCUUCCCGGAGAUUGUGGCCAAGGAGCCCCAGGUGAAAGCAUUCGGGUUGCAAGGCGAGCAGGUGUACAAAGCCAAGCUAGAGGCCACGCUGCAGGAGGAGGCCACCAUGUGGCAGAAACACCACGAGAAGGAGCUGCAGUGGGCUGCAGAGGUGUAAGCAGCGAAGGGCGCUGAGCUAGAAAGUGUGGGUGCCACCACUCCCGAUAAGUCUGUGGCCAAGCUGCAGCCGGAGGUGCCUGAUGUGAUCUUGCCCUCUGAGGCCCUGAAGGACACUGCCCCUGUGCUGGAGGGCUUGAAGGAAGAGGAAAUAACUAAGGAGGAAAUCGAUGUGCUGAGCAAUGCGUGCUCCAAGUUGAAGGAGCAGAAGAAGUCGCUGACCAAGGAGGAGGAGGAGCUGGUGCUGCUGACGGAGGACAUCCAGGACCACAGCAAGAUCAAGAAGGAGCUUUCCAAGAUGGGUGAGGACAAGCUCGAGGAGGCAUCGAAAAGCUAUAAGACGCUGACACAGUGGGUGCAGCAGAUGAUCAGGCAGAUCGAUGGGCUCAUCGCCCAGCUGGAGGCGGACCAGCAGGCUGGCAGGCUGGGCGCAGCUGAGACCACGCCCGUGGGGAAGAAUGUCAUCAGUGUCAGAGCUCAUCAGUGCCAUGAAACAAAUCAAGCACAUCCGGAAAACAAGCUGGUCAGCUUGGCCUCUCUAAAUGGACUCAAGCCCUGCAGGACUUUGAACCAACAAUCUUUGUUUGCAUCCCAUUUCCAUCUUUCAGAUGUGACAAAUCCAUCUCUGCCAAUCCUGGUGGUCACCUCCGCCCCAUCGUCCUGCUUUCCUGCACACUGUCUCUGUCCCUCACUGCAUGGUCUCAGAUGGGACACCCAGCCCUGUCUUCAACAAAGGCACAUGAAUGCGGCAACUCCUCAAUGAAAGGCGUCCAUCCAGGACUGGAGCAGCAGUCCAGUAAGUGGAAAGCCUGUACAGCUGGAUCCAACCUGAGCACUGCCUACAGGCAGGAGGAAGAGACGGUGCUGGAGAACUUCCUCCAAAGCAAAACACAGCUUCCCACUCAGCAUCAGAAUGGUUUUGAUCAUUCUUUCCUUCCUCUGUUCCCUGAGAUCCUGCCAAACGGUGACUACCUUCCAGGCUUCCAAGUUUGGGCACUGAAAGUCCCACAUCCCAGGAAAGCGCACAGUCCCAAGCAAACCGGAAUGCUCCAAAUUAAAGUGUUGUUCCAGCCACCUGACUGCUCAGGCUCCCUCCCAAAGGGACAGAGUGAAAAAUGAAAGAAGAAAGACAUUCCAACCUGCCAGGCAGGAAAUUUGCCUCCAGGUGAACGGCUUCAUCUUUACAUCCAACAGGUACAACAUGUUCAGGGAAAAAAUGUAUUCAAAAUGAUGGACAUCAAGAAAUAUAAUGGUGAAAUGAAGAAAAUAAUUCUUCAUGGAACUCCUGGAGGGAAAAGAAGUAUUUUCUGAGGUAGAAAGAAUGCAUGAAGCCACUCAAAUUCUUCCUCAGCAAGUUUCAAUGCAGAGAAAUAUGAGGCAGCAAUGUCCACAAACCGCAGUGGAAAUAUGAACUCGAAGUGUCAUGGCCUUCACCUCAGCAUUCAAGCAUAAAAAGCAACAGGCAGACACUCUCAGAGAACAGGAGAGACUAUAGCAGCCAGAAACAUGUCUUAAAAUUCUCACUGACAGUUACAUCCAGGCAAAGUGUAUCACAAGGGAAAGGAAACUAGAGGAGCCAGGAAUUCCAGGGCUGCCUGAAGAGGAUGGAGGAGGAAGAGGUCAUGAUGGAGCG
rnacentral:lncRNA from 1 species